UACGGAGGGAGCUAGCGUUGUUCGGAAUUACUGGGCGUAAAGCGCGCGUAGGCGGCUUUGUAAGUUAGAGGUGAAAGCCCGGGGCUCAACCCCGGAAUUGCCUUUAAGACUGCAUCGCUUGACUCCGGGAGAGGUGAGUGGAAUUCCGAGUGUAGAGGUGAAAUUCGUAGAUAUUCGGAAGAACACCAGUGGCGAAGGCGGCUCACUGGACCGGCAUUGACGCUGAGGUGCGAAAGCGUGGGGAGCAAACAGG
rnacentral:rRNA from 1 species